UAGGGAAUCUUCCGCAAUGGACGCAAGUCUGACGGAGCAACGCCGCGUGAGUGAAGAAGGAUUUCGGUUCGUAAAACUCUGUUGUUAGAGAAGAACAGCGCAUAGAGUAACUGUUAUGCGUGUGACGGUAUCUAACCAGAAAGCCACGGCUAACUACGUGCCAGCAGCCGCGGUAAUACGUAGGUGGCAAGCGUUGUCCGGAUUUAUUGGGCGUAAAGCGAGCGCAGGCGGUCAAUUAAGUCUGAUGUGAAAGCCCCCGGCUCAACCGGGGAGGGUCAUUGGAAACUGGUUGACUUGAGUGCAGAAGAAGGGAGUGGAAUUCCAUGGUUAGCGGUGAAAUGCGUAGAUUUAUGGAGGAACACCAGUGGCGAAGGCGACUCUCUGGUCUGUAACUGACGCUGAGGUUCGAAAGCGUGGGUAGCAAACAGG
rnacentral:rRNA from 1 species